rnacentral:rRNA from 1 species
GCCUAAUACAUGCAAGUCGAACGGUCUUUCUAUGGAAGCUUGCUUCCACUGAGAAGAUAGUGGCGAACGGGUGAGUAACACGUGGGUAACCUGCCCAUAAGAGGGGGGAUAACAUCCGGAAACGGGUGCUAAUACCGCAUAGUUUUCUUGAUCGCAUGAUCGGGAAAGGAAAGACGGCCUUUGUGCUGUCGCUUAUGGAUGGACCCGCGGCGUAUUAGUUAGUUGGUGAGGUAACGGCUCACCAAGACGAUGAUACGUAGCCGACCUGAGAGGGUGAUCGGCCACAUUGGGACUGAGACACGGCCCAAACUCCUACGGGAGGCAGCAGUAGGGAAUCUUCCGCAAUGGACGAAAGUCUGACGGAGCAACGCCGCGUGAGUGAAGAAAAGGUUUUCGGAUCGUAAAACUCUGUUGUCAGAGAAGAACAAGUUGGAGAGUAACUGCUCCAGCCUUGACGGUAUCUGACCAGAAAGCCACGGCUAACUACGUGCCAGCCGCUGC